rnacentral:rRNA from 1 species
UAAGGAAUAUUGGACAAUGGGCGAAAGCCUGAUCCAGCCAUGCCGCGUGUGUGAAGAAGGUCUUCGGAUUGUAAAGCACUUUAAGUUGGGAGGAAGGGCAGUAACCUAAUACGUUGCUGUCUUGACGUUACCGACAGAAUAAGCACCGGCUAACUCUGUGCCAGCAGCCGCGGUAAUACAGAGGGUGCAAGCGUUAAUCGGAAUUACUGGGCGUAAAGCGCGCGUAGGUGGUUUGUUAAGUUGGAUGUGAAAUCCCCGGGCUCAACCUGGGAACUGCAUUCAAAACUGACAAGCUAGAGUAUGGUAGAGGGUGGUGGAAUUUCCUGUGUAGCGGUGAAAUGCGUAGAUAUAGGAAGGAACACCAGUGGCGAAGGCGACCACCUGGACUGAUACUGACACUGAGGUGCGAAAGCGUGGGGAGCAAACA